UGAAGACUUGAUGCGAGCUUAUCAGAAAGUUUUACUCGUGAUCACAAAGGACGAGCUUGAACAAACACCACGAUUCUACGUUAGAUGUUAGGUCGAGAUGAAAGAUUUCAUCAACGAGGUGUUGGAUGACUGCGACGGAUACAAGAAUAUAUGUCCAAGAAUAAUUCCAAAUUGCUUUCAACGUUGCAUCAAAAAUUGCGAAAAUAUAAUGACUUUGAGAAAAACCGCCAAAUGGGGAGAAUCUCGAUCAGGACAACGACGAGGAAGAAGAAAAAAGUGGUGGGGGUGAGUCAAAAUGUGGUCCGGCGCUGUUCGCAGUAUGGUCGCCGGCCAAUUCAUGAACUACGGCGUGCUGGAUUUCCGGUGCAAGAUGGUGCAAGAGCUUCGUGCAACAUAACCAAGAACAUCAGCUUGGCAUCUUGGCAGAUGUAAACACUGAAUUUAAUUUUGAUGUCGGCACUGAGUCUGGAAAAGUAAUUGAUGCAAACAUGGGCGAAUAUCGAGAAGAAAUUGAAGAAAGAUUCGUAAAAGCAGGUUGCGAAAUACACGGCGACUACAGGAUUGCAAAGACAUGCAAAAAUUGUCUAUUUAAAUAUCUACGAAAGAAUGCAAAACUCAUUCAGUUGCCACAUGAAAGUUGGGGAUUUGUUGCGCAAGAUCACCGCAUAAUAUUUGCUAAAGCAGAGAAUGAUUAUACUAUAAAAUUAAAUAUGAUCAUUGAUUCUCGAACAUGAACGGAGAGAUAUAUUUUAAACAAAACCAUAUAAAGUGGCUAAUACCUGAGCCAGAAUCAGUGAGAGAUAUUGUUGAAAGUUUGAAUUGUAUUGAUAAACUCUUGGUUUUUCAAAGCAUAUAAAUUUUUGUAAUGAAAUUGAUAAUAGCUUCCUCGGAACAGCUAAAUUGUACAUAAAAAUGUUUAUUGAUAUUGGAUGUGUAAAAUGCAAUGUAAUUUUUUUUAAAUAAAAUUAUGGUUUUUCCUUUA